AACGAACGCUGGCGGCAUGCCUAACACAUGCCAGUCGAACGAGACCUUCGGGUCUAGUGGCGCACGGGUGCGUAACGCGUGGGAACCUGCCCUUAGGUUCGGAAUAACUCCCCGAAAGGGGUGCUAAUACCGGAUAAUGUCUUCGGACCAAAGAUUUAUCGCCUUUGGAUGGGCCCGCGUUGGAUUAGCUAGUUGGUAGGGUAAAAGCCUACCAAGGCGACGAUCCAUAGCUGGUCUGAGAGGAUGAUCAGCCACACUGGGACUGAGACACGGCCCAGACUCCUACGGGAGGCAGCAGUGGGGAAUAUCGGACAAUGGGCGAAAGCCUGAUCCAGCAAUGCCGCGUGAGUGAUGAAGGCCUUAGGGUUGUAAAGCUCUUUUACCCGGGAUGAUAAUGACAGUACCGGGAGAAUAAGCUCCGGCUAACUCCGUG
rnacentral:rRNA from 1 species